rnacentral:rRNA from 1 species
GAUGAACGCUAGCGGGAGGCUUAACACAUGCAAGUCGAGGGGCAGCACGAUGUAGCAAUACGUUGGUGGCGACCGGCGCACGGGUGAGUAACACGUAUGUAACCUACCCUGUACAGGGGGAUAACCCGGAGAAAUUCGGACUAAUACUCCAUGGAGAUAUACUGGGGCAUCCUGGUAUAUUUAAAGCUUCGGUGGUACGGGAUGGGCAUGCGGAACAUUAGCUAGUUGGUAGGGUAAAGGCCUACCAAGGCGACGAUCUUUAGCGGGUCUGAGAGGACGAUCCGCCACACUGGGACUGAGACACGGCCCAGACUCCUACGGGAGGCAGCAGUGGGGAAUUUUGGACAAUGGGCGAAAGCCUGAUCCAGCAAUGCCGCGUGAGUGAAGAAGGCCUUCGGGUUGUAAAGCUCUUUUGUUUGGGUAAGAAAGUCCUAAAGGCUAAUAUCCUUUGGGGAUGACGGUACCAAAGAAUAAGCACCGGCUAACUACGUGCCAGCAGCCGCGGUAAAUCACGUGUAC